rnacentral:rRNA from 1 species
AUGUGGAUAUUUUACGAGCAAAAGAUUCAAGAAGUGCGCAGAGCAUUCAAAUUCCCCCACAAAAUUCAGUUGAAUAUGGCAUCCUCUCAACAUAAUGGGAUCCGGACACCAUUUCAGGACCUAACGAACACUAGAAAUUCUGGUUCAGGCGCCGACGACGAAGGGAACAAAACCUAUAUGUAUAUCAUGUUGCGUGUGUGUCAACUGCCACAAGUGCCGACAUCGCCAAUAUUACGGCUACCUGGGAAGCCGGCAGCCAACAGUAUCACCGGAAGCAGGGGCGGGAGCAACAAUGUAUGCGGUAGCCUACAACAGCGGAUGGGGUUACUGGGAUGGGCACGGGAGGCAGCGGCAUAG